UGGCCAAGAAGAUAUAACCCAGUCGGUUGCGAAGGGAACGCCGAAUCUCGGCGAAAAACGAAUUUCGAGUGUGGAUAAGACAUGAGACGAUUGAUAUGAUAUGGUUGAUUUUCUAGUCUUGAUUCGCUACCACGAGACCGCGACAAGGACAAGAACAAGAUGAAGCGACGACGAACCAACUGACACGCGCCUCGAAACGCACAUUGCAACGAUUAUUGUAUGUGUAUUGAACGCCAAUAACACGGCUUACUAGGUAUAUAGCUGUAAU
rnacentral:misc_RNA from 1 species